UCUGGUGUCUUAGGUGGAAUGAAUUUUUCUAUUCCUUAAUGGAUGACAAUAAAGAUAAACUCGUAACUCCUCAUGUCCUUCAGUACUUGUAACUCCUAUCUUGAAUGUGAUGACUAAUUUCUCACCGUCUAUCUUAAAUACAAUGGAGCUCAUUGUUGGAGGUAGGUUAGCCCACGUGUCAAGCCCACAACUACCCUGAAAAAACCCCCCAAUUUGAUAAACAUACCACUUUUAGCUUUCCCUACACACAUAAAAGCACGGAAAUCAGAGAGAAAUUUCAAAACUUGAAAUUCAAAAUCCUUUCUCUCUUCUCCUUCCUCACAGUCCUUUCGCUUGGGAUGUGUAUGUGUUCUUUUUGUAGAUGUUGCAAAGUAACAAAGAUCUUCAUAGUUGAUCGGAACCUCUAGCAGAGUUCGUCGUCCGAAUUUCCUCUACCAAGCAACGUUGGUCAAUCUUCAACAUGGUUCUCUCCAAGAAAAUGUUCGAUUUUCAUGUUGGAAAUCAAGAGAUUUGGUGAAAGACUACAACAGAACCUGUUUCUUUGUUUAUAGCAACAUCACAACCGUGCCGGAACUGGCACUACCAACCACCAUCGGUCGAAAGUUCAACAUCUUUCUCACGAGACAGGGAGCUUCUAAGUUAGGAGACUAAAGUGCUAAACUACUGAUCCAACUUCUCCAAGGAUAAUGGAGUUCUGAUCCCCUUAUAAGUUUGAUAGGGAAAAGCGUGAAAACUUGGUGGCAAUGUGACUUUCGAUUAUAUGAAGCAUAUGGUUGGUAUCAAACUCUCAGGUUUUGAUAGCAAUUCAGCUGGAUGAAGAAUAUAUUUUGGAAGAUUGUUAUGAAAGGGGAGCAGAACAUGGAACACUAUGCAGCACCAGAACAAUAUACAAAAUCGAAAGAUGAAGAGGCAGCAAAAACAGAGCAUGCAGUGGAACCAAACAAGGAAGAACGUAGAAGGUCAAAAAGGAAAAUGAACAAGCCUCAGUACCUGAAGGACUAUGCAAUGAAGUAUGGAUGCGCUGGCAGUAGUCUUCUAGAAACAGAAUCCCAAAUCUUUGUGUCGUUAGAUGUUGUCUCCUGGUAGCGUUUUGAUUUUCCUCCAAGGCAUGCUGCCAAAAUCUGUUAAAGAAUUUUCAUCCAGAAUUGUUUAAGAACAUCUAUAAAUAUGAGAGGGGAUGCAAUUCAAUUAUCAGACAAUAAUACAAUUUUCCUUUCCUUCCUUUAUUCUGCUCUGGAGGUUCUAGGCCUCGAAUCCUAGACUGGCCUGUUACUGUGACCCACAACAAAGAUAUUCAAGUGUUUUAUUGGCAAUGGAAUCCCAGAGUUUGUAUACAAA